CUUUCUCUCGGAGAAAAAAAACCUUCCCUUAUCCUCUUUUCCUCGUCCACCAAAUCCCGUGAAGCAGGAGCCCGGGAGGUCGAGGUGAGCGGCGGACCGGACAAGCCUGGAGAGCAGAUCAAGCCGGGGAGCUAGACCAGCAGCGCCACCGCCUCCUCCCUCCUCUUUCUAUGAGCUGGAGCAGGGGUCGCCCAGCCGCCGCCGCCCCGAUGGGGAAGGGCCACCGCGCUCCUCCUCCCGGCUAUGCGCUCGGCCGUCGCGCUCCUCCAGCCGCCUUCCUGCGCCACGCGCUGCGCCAAGUACACCCCCGGCCGCCUCCUCCAGUUGCCUGCUCCCGGCGACGCGCGCCGCGCCUAGCACGGGCCCGGCCGUCCCCCUCCUGCUGCCUCCUCCUAGCGACGCACGCCGCACCCGGGAGGGCCUGUUUCCCUUGGUCCCCUACGCCGACGGCCGAUUACAGUGUUGUCUAGGUGCCGUUGCUGCGUACUUGGGGGAGCAGAGGGAGAUGAUGGUGAUCAAUACCGUCUUGUAAAGCGUCAAAGACGGAAAGCGAAAGCCACAACACCCGAUGUAGGCGGUUCCUCAUCUACAACAGUUGUUGAGGAAAUCGGCAACCCGAGCACCUACUGUGGCAACUCCAACACCUAGUGAGCCAGCUGCAGGUCAACACAUGCAUAAUGCAUCAUCUGAUGGGCCAACGCCCGCAACUAGUGAGGGAAACACACUUUCAUCUGUGCCAGCUCCAGUAAUCACUCUGCCAAGUACAAUAUCAAGUGAGGCAACUGUAACUCCAGAUGUGCCACCCCCAAUAGCCAAUGUGCCACCUGAAGGUCAAACUGUGCCAACUGCAGGGCAUAUGUUGGAUGUUGGUGUGAACAAUCUUUUGUGCCUAUUUUGUAUCUAUUUUCAUCGGAUGUUGGUGUGAACAAUCUUUUAUGCACGCUGUGUGCCUACAGGUGGCUGCUGCAACUUGUCUAGUUGCACGAAAGCAGUAUAUAGUUGCACCAACUUGUUUACUUUUUUUGGCACAUAGUGUUGCUACAAUUGGCUGCUGUAACUUGAUUGGUUGCACAAAAGCAGCAUAUUGGUUGCACAGAUUCUAUGCCAACCCCCUA